GCCGUGGGCAGCUGCCUGUCCCUGUAUAGGCAGAGCUGCGUCAUGCCCUGUGGCCCCAGGAAAAUGGGGACGUCGGGAGCAUUCUCUGGACAGCAGGAGAUGCAUGUCGACAGGCUGGCCCUGCCUCUUCCCACCCCAGAGUGAUGCAGCGGUGUCCUGGACCCCUGGGGAGAGGUGACCCCCCCAGCAGGAAGCUGGGCCUGGUUUCUGUCCCUCUGCAGCCACAAGGCCUGGCUAGGAUGCUGGGAGCACCACACCCUGGAGACUCAGCUCACCAAGGACUCAGGGGCGGGGGCUCCCCUGGCACCUGGGAAGCUGGGCCCCCGGCCCCCUGGACUCCCACCCAGACACCAUCUCAACCCAGGCACUUCCCCCGGGCCAGAGGGCAGCCUGGCAGCCCUGGACUCCGGGAGGGCCGAGUCUGGGGAGCUGGACGACGUCACAUUCCACUCUUGAUGAUGCCGCCCCAGUCCUACAAUCUGGACAGCAGGAGAAGCUGCCCAUUUCCUCCAUCUCCGGUCCCUGGAGGUUCCCCGGAUCCUUUCAGGGAAGACCAUGGGCCCUAAACGAUCUUCAUAACAAAACUGAGAAGUGGCCUGGCUUCUUCACUGCGUGCCUGUGUGCUGGGAUCUAGCGUGGCCCGACUGGGCAGCUCCUUUCCUUCCCUGACGCUGCUCCAGGGGAAAGAAGGACCAGGGUCAAUCCGGGGUGCCCCAGGUGGAUCAGCGAAUGCCCCUGAAGCCAGGUGCCAGUUGCAUCCCCGUCAGAUGCCCCCACCCCAGUCUCCUGAGCCUCAUUAGUCACCCCUCAUUUUCCUCUGGGGACCCCAGGCCCCAGCUCCUGUCUGGUUAGAGGCUGAAGGGGUCUGAGCGACACCUACCCUAGGGGACCUCCGGAGGGGUCUUGGUGUCCUCUGACUUCUGUCCUCAGAAGGGAGCUCAGAAUGCAGCUGAGGCUUCCCCUGGGGCCCAGGGUGUCUGUGUCCGAGCCACAGCCAGAGUGUGCCCUGGAGAGUCGCUGGGAUGCACGGUGGGCUCUCGUCAUCCUGUCCCCACUCCAGGCUCAGGCUGGAGCCGUGAUGGCACCGCUGCACUCCAACCUGGGCAACAGAGUGAGACCCUGUCUCUAUAAAAUAAAAACAAAAAUAAAGAAGA
rnacentral:lncRNA from 10 species